UACGUAGGGCGCAAGCGUUGUCCGGAAUUAUUGGGCGUAAAGAGCUCGUAGGCGGCCUGUUGCGUCCGCUGUGAAAUCCCGGGGCUCAACCCCGGGCCUGCAGUGGAUACGGGCUGGCUAGAGGCAGGCAGGGGAGAACGGAAUUCCUGGUGUAGCGGUGAAAUGCGCAGAUAUCAGGAGGAACACCGGUGGCGAAGGCGGUUCUCUGGGCCUGUUCUGACGCUGAGGAGCGAAAGCGUGGGGAGCGAACAGG
rnacentral:rRNA from 1 species